GGGGGCCCGCAAGCGGUGGAGCAUGUGGUUUAAUUCGACGCAACGCGAAGAACCUUACCUGGGCUCGAAAUGUACGGGACAGUCGUAGAAAUACGAUCUCCUAGCAAUAGGUCCGUAUAUAGGUGCUGCAUGGCUGUCGUCAGCUCGUGUCGUGAGAUGUUGGGUUAAGUCCCGCAACGAGCGCAACCCUUAUCUUCAGUUGCUACCAUUUAGUUGAGCACUCUGACGAAACCGCCUCGGAUAACGGGGAGGAAGGUGGGGAUGACGUCAAGUCCUCAUGGCCUUUAUGUCCAGGGCUACACACGCGCUACAAUGGCCGGUACAAACCGCUGCAAACCCGCGAGGGGGAGCUAAUCGGAAAAAGCCGGCCUCAGUUCGGAUUGGAGUCUGCAACUCGACUCCAUGAAGCUGGAAUCGCUAGUAAUCGUGGAUCAGCAUGCCACGGUGAAUACGUUCCCGGGCCUUGUACACACC
rnacentral:rRNA from 1 species